rnacentral:rRNA from 1 species
UGGCUCAGGAUGAACGUUGGCGGUGUGCCUAAUACAUGCAAGUCGAACGAAGUUGAUAGACAAUAUUAGCUUAGUGGCGAACGGGUGAGUAACGCGUUGGUGAUCUGCCUUGAAGUGUGGAAUAACGUUUCGAAAGGAACGCUAAUACCGCAUGUGCUCUCGAUUUUCAGAAAGUUGAGAGUAAAGGAUUUAUUCGCUUCAAGAGGAGCCUGCGUCCCAUCAGCUGGUUGGUAGGGUAACGGCCUACCAAGGCUAUGACGGGUAGGGGACCUGAGAGGGUGGCCCCCCACAAUGGAACUGAAACACGGUCCAUACACCUACGGGUGGCAGCAGUAGGGAAUAUUAGAAAUGGACGAAAGUCUGAUCUAGCAACACCGCGUGUGCGAAGAAGGCCUUCGGGUCGUAAAGCACUUUUGGAAGGAAUAGGAAGGAAUGUACUUCCAGAAUAAGUCUCGGCUAACUACGUG